CAGGAAUGUUUGCCUCUGGGUACAUGAGCAUAAGUGGAAUCCAAGCACCAUGGUCAAGUCCGCGAAACUUGUCUUCUUUAACCUUGCCAAAGCCAGACUUUUGUAAUAGUACUUUCACUCUCUGCGCCAAAUCAGGAGCACCAGGUGCAGGAUAUUUCAACUGGUACAUGGGCUUGGGGAAGCCAUAGAAGUCAUGAAUAGUCUCGUUCUUCCCUGCAACAACGUUGACCGUCGGCUCGGAGGUGUCCCAAUGUCCAGACACGACAAGGAUUCCUGUGGGCACGACGCCUGGAAGCACCUUCUCCUUCCACGACUUCAAGAAGUGCCUCGCCGGCAUCUUCUCGUCGACCGAGAGCGUCGGCGCUCCAUGAGAGAUGAAGAAGGCAUCCAUCGGAGAGGUGAUGAGAAGGGAG
rnacentral:misc_RNA from 1 species